UCCCAAAAGAUCAAAAAAAAAGGAAAAACUAGCCUCUCCCCAAGCCCUCUUUCUGAUUCAUGUAUUUCCUUUCCAUUAAUCUAGAUUGCACAAUAAGCCAGACCUUGCAGGGUAAACCUGAAGUGGAGAGGGGAGUGAUUGCAAUGCCCUGACUUUAAAUUCUGAAAGCCUUAGGCUCAACUCUCUUUCCUGAACUUAGAACCCAUCAGUAACUACCCUCCCAUCAGUAGCCCCACCCCCACAAUCUCAACCAGGAGUGCUGGGAAUUUCUGAAAGGGGCCUCGUUUUGGCCUUGAGGGGAAAGCCAGCUGCAUCCAGGAUUUUCUCUCUGGGCCUCACCUGGUGGAAUUCAUCUGACACAAUAGACGAGGAACCUCUCCAACACUGAGCUGGUUCUGGCAAUAUACAAGUCAACCUCAUUAUCAAUGCGUACAUCCCUGGAAAGUAUACUGCCAAGUGGAGAUUGAUUAAUCAGUGUUCCAUGCCUGCCUGAGGGGCAGAGUUGUGAAGAGUUUGGAAGAAGAGAAAUCCUGAUCUUCUGCCUUCUGCUUCAAGAGAGAAGACACAUAGUUCUAGACCCUUUCCAGAUCCAUAAAAUGAGAAAAAAAGACCCUGGGGAAGAAGUUGACAUGUAGAGGAACAAACAUUUUGAUCAUGUCCCUCUCCCCAGAUUAUUACAUUACAGACUUCAGGGAAUUUCAUGUUGGGUGAGGUCAGGGACUUCUGCAUGACUCUUUUCCUGAAUCUUCCCUUUCCCUGAGUCUUCCCUUUCCCGGUUGUUAUUGCCCUCUCCCUCCUCAGGUUAUCUUGUAUGGUUAUCUGU